CGCCUGGCUAAUUUUUUUGUUUUUUUAGUAGAAACGGGGUUUCACCGUGUUAGCCAGAAUGGUCUCGAUCUCCUGACCUCGUGAUCCACCUCAGCUUCCCAAAGUGCUGGGAUUACAGGCAUGAGCCACCGAAACCGGAUGAUGCCUCCUUCUUAAUUUCCAGUCUUGUUGGCUAAUAUCAGAUUUGCUGUCUGGAGAGAUAUAUGAAAUUUAAAGAUGGCAAUCCAUUCCCUUCCCAUCAUGCUUCUUUUUCUACAGUUCAUAGUUGGUUAGAAACAAACAACAACAACAACAACAACAAACAAAAACAACAACAACAAAAAAAACAGAGAGCCCAAAGAGAAGAAAUAAAGAUGCUGUCAGAGAUGGAACAUAGUGGCAGUAAAAGAAA
rnacentral:lncRNA from 1 species